GCUGUGAGAUAGCUCAGUCAGUAGAGCAUGAGGCUCUUAAUCUCAGGGCUGUGGGUUCGAGCCCCACAUUGGGCA
rnacentral:tRNA from 1 species